rnacentral:rRNA from 1 species
UACAGAGGUCUCAAGCGUUGUUCGGAUUCAUUGGGCGUAAAGGGUGCGUAGGCGGCGCGGUAAGUCGGGUGUGAAAUCUCGGAGCUUAACUCCGAAACUGCAUUCGAUACUGCGGUGCUUGAGGACUGGAGAGGAGACUGGAAUUUACGGUGUAGCAGUGAAAUGCGUAGAUAUCUGCAGGAACACCCGUGGCGAAAGCGGCGCGCUGGACCACUACUGACGCUGAGGAACGAAAGCUAGGGGAGCAAACAGG